UCGCCCUUAGUUUGAUCCUCGCUUCAGAACGAACGCUGGCGGCAGGCUUAACACAUGCAAGUCGAACGCCCCGCAAGGGGAGUGGCAGACGGGUGAGUAACGCGUGGGAACAUACCCUUUCCUGCGGAAUAGCUCCGGGAAACUGGAAUUAAUACCGCAUACGCCCUACGGGGGAAAGAUUUAUCGGGGAAGGAUUGGCCCGCGUUGGAUUAGCUAGUUGGUGGGGUAAAGGCCUACCAAGGCGACGAUCCAUAGCUGGUCUGAGAGGAUGAUCAGCCACAUUGGGACUGAGACACGGCCCAAACUCCUACGGGAGGCAGCAGUGGGGAAUAUCGGACAAUGGGCGCAAGCCUGAUCCAGCCAUGCCGCGUGAGUGAUGAAGGCCUUAGGGUUGUAAAGCUCUUUCACCGGAGAAGAUAAUGACGGUAUCCGGAGAAGAAGCCCCGGCUAACUUCGUGCCAGCAGCCGCGGUAAUACGAAGGGGCUAGCGUUGUUCGGAAUUACUGGGCGUAAAGCGCACGUAGGCGGAUAUUUAAGUCAGGGGUGAAAUCCCAGAGCUCAACUCUGGAACUGCCUUUGAUACUGGGUAUCUUGAGUAUGGAAGAGGUAAGUGGAAUUCCGAGUGCAGAGGUGAAAUUCGUAGAUAUUCGGAGGAACACCAGUGGCGAAGGCGGCUUACUGGUCCAUUACUGACGCUGAGGUGCGAAAGCGUGGGGAGCAAACAGGAUUAGAUACCCUGGUAGUCCACGCCGUAACGAUGAAUGUUAGCCGUCGGGCAGUAUACUGUUCGGUGGCGCA
rnacentral:rRNA from 1 species